UACGGAGGUGGCAAGCGUUGCUCGGAAUCACUGGGCGUAAAGGGCUCGUAGGCGGGGAGGUAAGUCGGGUGUGAAAUCCCUCGGCCCAACCGAGGAACUGCGCCCGAGACUGCUUCUCUUGAGUCCCGGAGAGGAAGAUGGAAUUCCCGGUGUAGCGGUGAAAUGUGUAGAGAUCGGGAGGAACACCGGUGGCGAAGGCGGUCUUCUGGACGGUGACUGACGCUGAGGCGCGAAAGCGUGGGGAGCAAACGGG
rnacentral:rRNA from 1 species